rnacentral:rRNA from 1 species
AGAGUUUGAUCAUGGCUCAGGACGAACGCUGACGGUGUGCUUUAGGCAUGCAAGUCGAACGAGAAAGCCCUUCGGGGUGAGUAAAGUGGCGAACGGGUGAGUAACGCGUGGGAACCUACCCUUUGGUUCGGAAUAACUCAGGGAAACUUGAGCUAAUACCGGAUACGCCCUUUGGGGGAAAGAUUUAUCGCCAUGGGAUGGGCCCGCGUCUGAUUAGCUAGUUGGUGUGGUAAGAGCGCACCAAGGCAACGAUCAGUAGCUGGUCUGAGAGGACGACCAGCCACACUGGGACUGAGACACGGCCCAGACUCCUACGGGAGGCAGCAGUGAGGAAUUUUCCGCAAUGGGCGAAAGCCUGACGGAGCAAUACCGCGUGAGGGAGGAAGGUUCUUGGAUUGUAAACCUCUUUUCUCAGAGAAGAAUAAUGACGGUAUCUGAGGAAUAAGCAUCGGCUAACUCCGUGCCAGCAGCCGCGGUAAUACGGAGGAUGCAAGCGUUAUCCGGAAUGAUUGGGCGUAAAGGGUCUGUAGGUGGUUGUUCAAGUCUGCUGUUAAAGCGUCUGGCUUAACCAGAUAAAGGCGGUGGAAACUGAACGACUAGAGUGCGGUAGGGGUAGAGGGAAUUCCCAGUGUAGCGGUGAAAUGCGUAGAUAUUGGGAAGAACACCUGUGGCGAAAGCGCUCUACUGGACCGCGACUGACACUGAUGGACGAAAGCUAGGGGAGCGAAUGGGAUUAGAUACCCCCGUAGUCC